rnacentral:rRNA from 1 species
UACGGGGGGCAGCAGUUAGGAAUUUUCCGCAAUGGGCGAAAGCCUGACGGAGCAACGCUGCGUGGGUGAUGAAGACCUUCGGGUUGUAAAGCCCUGUCGGAGGGGAAGAACAAAUGACGGUACCCUCCAAGAAAGCCCCGGCUAACUACGUGCCAGCAGCCGCGGUAAUACGUAGGGGGCGAGCGUUAUCCGGAUUUACUGGGCGUAAAGCGCGUUAAGGCGGUCGGCAAAGUUGGUUGUGAAAUUUCAGGGCUCAACCCUGAAACUGCGUCCAAUACUGGUCGACUAGAGUGCGAGAGAGGAAGGUGGAAUUCCCGGUGUAGUAGUGAAAUGCGUAGAUAUCGGGAGGAACGCCAGUGGCGAAGGCGGCCUUCUGGCUCGCAACUGACGCUGUAGCGCGAAAGCGUGGGGAGCGAACGGGAUUAGAUACCCCUGUAGUCAUCAUCUAGA